UUAAGUGACUAAGCGUACACGGUGGAUGCCUAGGCAGUCAGAGGCGAUGAAGGGCGUGCUAAUCUGCGAAAAGCGUCGGUAAGGUGAUAUGAACCGUUACAACCGGCGAUACCCGAAUGGGGAAACCCAGUGUGUUUCGACACACUAUCAUGUCAUGAAUACAUAGUGGCAUGAGGCGAACCGGGGGAACUGAAACAUCUAAGUACCCCGAGGAAAAGAAAUCAACCGAGAUUCCCCCAGUAGCGGCGAGCGAACGGGGAGGAGCCCAGAACCUGAAUCGGCUUGUGUGUUAGUGGAAGCGUCUGGAAAGUCGCGCAGCAAAGGGUGAUAGCCCCGUACACUAAAAUGCACAGGUCGUGAGUUCGAUGAGUAGGGCGGGACACGUGACAUCCUGUCUGAAUAUGGGGGGACCAUCCUCCAAGGCUAAAUACUCCUGACUGACCGAUAGUGAACCAGUACCGUGAGGGAAAGGCGAAAAGAACCCCGGCGAGGGGAGUGAAAUAGAACCUGAAACCGUGUACGUACAAGCAGUGGGAGCACCUUCGUGGUGUGACUGCGUACCUUUUGUAUAAUGGGUCAGCGACUUAUAUUUUGUAGCAAGGUUAACCGUAUAGGGGAGCCGUAGGGAAACCGAGUCUUAACUGGGCGAAUAGUUGCAAGGUAUAGACCCGAAACCCGGUGAUCUAGCCAUGGGCAGGUUGAAGGUUGGGUAACACUAACUGGAGGACCGAACCGACUAAUGUUGAAAAAUUAGCGGAUGACUUGUGGCUGGGGGUGAAAGGCCAAUCAAACCGGGAGAUAGCUGGUUCUCCCCGAAAGCUAUUUAGGUAGCGCCUCGUGAACUCAUCUUCGGGGGUAGAGCACUGUUUCGGCUAGGGGGCCAUCCCGGCUUACCAAACCGAUGCAAACUCCGAAUACCGAAGAAUGUUAUCACGGGAGACACACGGCGGGUGCUAACGUCCGUCGUGAAGAGGGAAACAACCCAGACCGCCAGCUAAGGUCCCAAAGUCAUGGUUAAGUGGGAAACGAUGUGGGAAGGCAUAGACAGCCAGGAUGUUGGCUUAGAAGCAGCCAUCAUUUAAAGAAAGCGUAAUAGCUCACUGGUCGAGUCGGCCUGCGCGGAAGAUGUAACGGGGCUAAACCAUGCACCGAAGCUGCGGCAGCGACGCUUAGGCGUUGUUGGGUAGGGGAGCGUUCUGUAAGCCGUUGAAGGUGGCCUGUGAGGGUUGCUGGAGGUAUCAGAAGUGCGAAUGCUGACAUAAGUAACGAUAAAGCGGGUGAAAAGCCCGCUCGCCGGAAGACCAAGGGUUCCUGUCCAACGUUAAUCGGGGCAGGGUGAGUCGACCCCUAAGGCGAGGCUGAAAAGCGUAGUCGAUGGGAAACAGGUUAAUAUUCCUGUACUUGGUGUUACUGCGAAGGGGGGACGGAGAAGGCUAGGCUAGCCGGGCGACGGUUGUCCCGGUUUAAGCGUGUAGGGGGUGUGACCUGGUAAAUCCGGUUGCAUAUCAACCCUGAGGCGUGAUGACGAUGCACUACGGUGCAGAAGUAGUUGAUGCCCUGCUUCCAGGAAAAGCCUCUAAGCUCCAGGUAACAUUGAAUCGUACCCCAAACCGACACAGGUGGUCAGGUAGAGAAUACCAAGGCGCUUGAGAGAACUCGGGUGAAGGAACUAGGCAAAAUGGUGCCGUAACUUCGGGAGAAGGCACGCUGGCAUGUAGGUGAAGUCCCUUGCGGAUGGAGCUGAAGCCAGUCGAAGAUACCAGCUGGCUGCAACUGUUUAAUAAAAACACAGCACUGUGCAAACACGAAAGUGGACGUAUACGGUGUGACGCCUGCCCGGUGCUGGAAGGUUAAUUGAUGGGGUCAGCCGCAAGGCGAAGCUCUUGAUCGAAGCCCCAGUAAACGGCGGCCGUAACUAUAACGGUCCUAAGGUAGCGAAAUUCCUUGUCGGGUAAGUUCCGACCUGCACGAAUGGCGUAAUGAUGGCCAGGCUGUCUCCACCCGAGACUCAGUGAAAUUGAACUCGCUGUGAAGAUGCAGUGUACCCGCGGCAAGACGGAAAGACCCCGUGAACCUUUACUAUAGCUUGACACUGAACAUUGAGCCUUGAUGUGUAGGAUAGGUGGGAGGCUUUGAAGCGUGGACGCCAGUCUGCGUGGAGCCAUCCUUGAAAUACCACCCUUUAAUGUUUGAUGUUCUAACUCGGCCCCAUAAUCUGGGGUGAGGACAGUGUCUGGUGGGUAGUUUGACUGGGGCGGUCUCCUCCCAAAGAGUAACGGAGGAGCACGAAGGUUAGCUAAUCACGGUCGGACAUCGUGAGGUUAGUGCAAAGGCAUAAGCUAGCUUGACUGCGAGAGUGACGGCUCGAGCAGGUACGAAAGUAGGUCUUAGUGAUCCGGUGGUUCUGAAUGGAAGGGCCAUCGCUCAACGGAUAAAAGGUACUCCGGGGAUAACAGGCUGAUACCGCCCAAGAGUUCAUAUCGACGGCGGUGUUUGGCACCUCGAUGUCGGCUCAUCACAUCCUGGGGCUGAAGUAGGUCCCAAGGGUAUGGCUGUUCGCCAUUUAAAGUGGUACGCGAGCUGGGUUUAGAACGUCGUGAGACAGUUCGGUCCCUAUCUGCCGUGGGCGUUGGAAGAUUGAGAGGGGUUGCUCCUAGUACGAGAGGACCGGAGUGAACGCACCACUGGUGUUCGGGUUGUCAUGCCAAUGGCAUUGCCCGGUAGCUAAGUGCGGAAAAGAUAAGCGCUGAAAGCAUCUAAGCGCGAAACUUGCCUCAAGAUGAGUCUUCCCUGGGCCUUUAAGGCCCCUGAAGGAACGUUUAAGACUAAGACGUUGAUAGGCUGGGUGUGUAAGUGCAGCGAUGCAUUGAGCUAACCAGUACUAAUGAUCCGUGAGGCUUAACCUU
rnacentral:rRNA from 1 species